UUUUUCUUUUAUAUGUCGCACAAACGAGAUAGGUUUAUAAAUUGUUUAACUUUGUACAUUAAAGGAUCGCGACAGCUUUUUUUGGUGAUUGAGGUAUGUCACUUUCAGACAUGAAGCAAACUUCAAGCAUGGGCUUCACAUUGGACUGUAUGCUUUAGGAUCAUAAAAGCCAAGAAAGAGCCAAGAUAGAGCCAAGAAAUCAUCAAAAUGUAAACUAAAAAACGAUAACAUUUUACUUUUAGGGUAGCUAUACUUUAGGGGUAGGCGAUAUCGUGCACUGCACGAGGGCGUCAAGUAAAUUGGGUCGGAGUUUGUCAUUUUGUAUGUUGUCAUUUUGUAGUUGUAAAUUAAAUUUUUUAUGUAAAUAAAUGCAUUCUUUACUA